AAUAAGCUUUAUGAAAACUGUUUAACCUCAUGACCAUUUAUUAAAUAAUGGGCGUAAAAGUGUUGAGCAAGCAGAGUGGUAUGUUUGAAUCAAUAGAUAAAUGUAGUCUUCAUGAUCUUUCUCAUUUUCGUCCUAUUAAGUGACACUAAAAAUGCUGUUUUACACUCUCCUUUAUAGUGCACAGUCACAACAGGAGCACACAACACUGGAAGCCAGUGGCAGGGCUCUGUCUCCACAAUGCAACGGGGAGAGGCAGGGCUGUUACCAUGGGGAGGUACUGUCGCAAGUCUGCAAUCAGCUUGUCACGGCCAUAGGAUGUCAAGCCUUCCAUCACCACAGAUGGAGGAUAAACUACAUCCCCUCCAGUGACGUGAACCCAUAAUUAAACGCAGAGGCAAUUUCCGCAGCCAACAGCUUCCUUUCCACUGGAAGUUAAAGGAGGGCCACAAAAGGAAACCCAUCCAACGCUGAAAUCCACUGACUGAAGCAAAAGUCCUUUCAAGACUGCAGAGAGAGGCAGGGGGAAAACACGAGACCUGCUCUGACCUUCUCAUGCGUAGGGCAAACACUCCAGCCUUUACAUGCCUCAACAACAAGAAAUACAACACGCCAAGACAAUUCUCAAAACUGCACACACACAAACCCGCUAGAGUCCCCCACGUCAGCACCCCAUAUCCUUUUUUACCCAUUCAGAGUAUGUGCAGAUGUGUGGCUGUAUAAAAACAUGAUUCUGCAUUAUUUUGAUUAGUGCUCAGUCUAAAGUCUCAUACUGUACAAUCGCUUACUGGAGAGAGACGGAUUUUUAUGACAUAUAGUGAUUUGUUCCACAAAUAAAUAAAUAACAAACAAAAAUCAUUAUUUGUGCACCAGAUUUGUUAAAAAAUGCUGAGAAAGUAUUCCUACUAAAACUAUUGUCAUUGUUUAAACAAGUUUGAAGUGUCCAUUGUUGGGCUGUGCGUGGAAGGAUUUGUGCUGACUCUCUCGAUUGUAAACACGUGCUUCUCUGGUAAUCCACCCUAAUCUUUUCUUAAGUUUUAAUCUACGUCUCCAUUUUUUUUUUUUUUUUUUGCUGUUAGCACAGUUCCUCAAAUAUGUGACACCGUGCUCUGCUUUCUGGGACACAGUGAGUCAACCUAAUUUCUAUAUUAGUCCUUAUAUUCUCACAAACCAUGAAAGAAACUCCUUGGAAGAAUGACAAACUCCCAUCUUUCU